rnacentral:rRNA from 1 species
GACGAACGCUGGCGGCGUGCCUAAUACAUGCAAGUCGAACGCACUCUCGUUUAGAUUGAAGGAGCUUGCUCCUGAUUGAUAAACAUUUGAGUGAGUGGCGGACGGGUGAGUAACACGUGGGUAACCUGCCCUAAAGUGGGGGAUAACAUUUGGAGACAGAUGCUAAUACCGCAUAAAACCUAACACCGCAUGGUGUAGGGUUGAAAGAUGGUUUCGGCUAUCACUUUAGGAUGGACCCGCGGUGCAUUAGUUAGUUGGUGAGGUAAAGGCUCACCAAGACCGUGAUGCAUAGCCGACCUGAGAGGGUAAUCGGCCACACUGGGACUGAGACACGGCCCAGACUCCUACGGGAGGCAGCAGUAGGGAAUCUUCCACAAUGGACGAAAGUCUGAUGGAGCAACGCCGCGUGAGUGAAGAAGGUUUUCGGAUCGUAAAACUCUGUUGUUGGAGAAGAAUGUAUCUGAUAGUAACUGAUCAGGUAGUGACGGUAUCCAACCAGAAAGCC